AGCAUCCUGCGAUGCCCGUCAGUCUCACUUUGUUUCGAACCGUACCAUGACACGAGGGAAUCCUAUAUCAGGUUGCCUAUGGCAGGCCUGCACGUCAGGACGUCAGAAGCAGCCUUGCGGAUACCCACCUGCGAGAGCGGGUUCGUGAAACAACUGAGACGACGGCAUGGUGGGAAGUAC
rnacentral:other from 1 species